UACGAAGGGGGCUAGCGUUGCUCGGAAUCACUGGGCGUAAAGCGCACGUAGGCGGACUCUUAAGUCGGGGGUGAAAUCCUGGAGCUCAACUCCAGAACUGCCUUCGAUACUGGGAGUCUUGAGUUCGGGAGAGGUGAGUGGAACUCCGAGUGUAGAGGUGAAAUUCGUAGAUAUUCGGAAGAACACCAGUGGCGAAGGCGGCUCACUGGCCCGGUACUGACGCUGAGGUGCGAAAGCGUGGGGAGCAAACAGG
rnacentral:rRNA from 1 species